AAGGAACUUGCCUCUUGGACUGGGACAACUGUUGGAAACGACAGCUAAUACCGGAUAUUAUGAGAUUCUCGCAUGAGAAACUUAUGAAAGCUAUAUGCGCCAAGAGAGAGCCUUGCGUUCCAUUAGCUAGUUGGUGGGGUAACGGCCCACCAAGGCGACGAUGGAUAGCCGGCCUGAGAGGGUGAACGGCCACAAGGGGACUGAGACACGGCCCUUACUCCUACGGGAGGCAGCAGUGGGGAAUAUUGGACAAUGGGCCACAAGCCUGAUCCAGCAAUUCUGUGUGCACGAUGAAGGUCUUCGGAUUGUAAAGUGCUUUCAGUUGGGAAGAAGAAAGUGACGGUACCAACAGAAGAAGCGACGGCUAAAUACGUGCCAGCAGCCGCGGUAAUACGUAUGUCGCAAGCGUUAUCCGGAUUUAUUGGGCGUAAAGCGCGUCUAGGCGGAAAAAUAAGUCUGAUGUUAAAAUGCGGGGCUCA
rnacentral:rRNA from 1 species